CAUCUACUCCCUCCGUCCGAAAAUACUUGUCAUCAAAAUGGAUAAAAAGGGAUGUAUCUAGAACUAAUAUACAUCUAGAUACAUCCCCUUUUAUUCGUUUUGAUGACAAGUAUUUCCAAACGGAGGGAGUAUUCG
rnacentral:pre_miRNA from 1 species